rnacentral:rRNA from 1 species
AUUGAACGCUGGCGGCAGGCCUAACACAUGCAAGUCGAACGAGCGGCGGACGGGUGAGUAAUGUCUGGGAAACUGCCCGAUGGAGGGGGAUAACUACUGGAAACGGUAGCUAAUACCGCAUACCAUCGGAUGUGCCCAGAUGGGAUUAGCUAGUAGGUGGGGUAACGGCUCACCUAGGCGACGAUCCCUAGCUGGUCUGAGCGGAUGACAAGCCACACUGGACCUGGGACACGGUCCAGACUCCUACGGAAGGCAGCAGUGGGGAAUAUUGCACAAUGGGCGCAAGCCUGAUGCAGCCCUGCCGCGGGUAUGAAGAAGGCCUUCGGGUUGUAAAGUACUUUCAGCGGGGAGGCGUUACCCGCAGAAGAAGCACCGGCUAACUCCGUGCCAGCAGCCGCGGUAAUUC